rnacentral:rRNA from 1 species
GACGAACGCUGGCGGCGUGCUUAACACAUGCAAGUCGAACGGAAAGGCCCCCACCUUGGUGGGGGUGCUCGAGUGGCGAACGGGUGAGUAACACGUGGGUGAUCUGCCCUGUACUUCGGGAUAAGCUUGGGAAACUGGGUCUAAUACCGGAUAGAACCAUGGUUUAGUGUCUCAUGGUGGAAAAAUUAUUGUUUUGGUGCAGGAUGAGCUCGCGGCCUAUCAGCUUGUUGGUGGGGUAAUGGCCUACCAAGGCGUCGACGGGUAGCCGGCCUGAGAGGGUGGACGGCCACAUUGGGACUGAGAUACGGCCCAGACUCCUACGGGAGGCAGCAGUGGGGAAUAUUGCACAAUGGGCGCAAGCCUGAUGCAGCGACGCCGCGUGGGGGAUGACGGCCUUCGGGUUGUAAACUCCUUUCGUUAGGGACGAAGCCACACCUUUUUUGGGUGUGGUGACGGUACCUUUGUGAAGAAGCACCGGCUAACUACGUG